GAUGAACGCUGGCGGCGUGCCUAAUACAUGCAAGUCGAGCGAACAGACGGAGCUUGCUCCUCUGACGUUAGCGGCGGACGGGUGAGUAACACGUGGAUAACCUACCUAUAAGACUGGGAUAACUUCGGGAAACCGGAGCUAAUACCGGAUAAUAUAUUGAACCGCAUGGUUCAAUAGUGAAAGACGGUUUUGCUGUCACUUAUAGAUGGAUCCGCGCCGCAUUAGCUAGUUGGUAAGGUAACGGCUUACCAAGGCAACGAUGCGUAGCCGACCUGAGAGGGUGAUCGGCCACACUGGAACUGAGACACGGUCCAGACUCCUACGGGAGGCAGCAGUAGGGAAUCUUCCGCAAUGGGCGAAAGCCUGACGGAGCAACGCCGCGUGAGUGAUGAAGGUCUUCGGAUCGUAAAACUCUGUUAUUAGGGAAGAACAAAUGUGUAAGUAACUAUGCACGUCUUGACGGUACCUAAUCAGAAAGCCACGGCUAACUACGG
rnacentral:rRNA from 1 species